rnacentral:lncRNA from 1 species
GUCCUUCUGCGGGAUCUGCGAUAACUUCUCAUUUUGGGAGGGUUUGUCAUUGAGACACCUCUCCGCAACUCUCAAUUUCUUGCUUUUUUUUCUUUUUUUUUUUUUUUUUUUUAUCGCUAAUGAAAAUGUAUCUGGAACUCAAUUAAAAAGAAUGAAAACAACUCUUUAUGCAUUUCAUGAGUUCGAAAAGCUUUUGUAAAG